UUAGUAACGGCGAGUGAAGCGGUAAAAGCUCAAAUUUGAAAUCUGGUACUUUCAGUGCCCGAGUUGUAAUUUGUAGAAUUUGUCUUUGAUUAGGUCCUUGUCUAUGUUCCUUGGAACAGGACGUCAUAGAGGGUGAGAAUCCCGUUUGGCGAGGAUACCUUUUCUCUGUAAGACUUUUUCGAAGAGUCGAGUUGUUUGGGAAUGCAGCUCAAAGUGGGUGGUAAAUUCCAUCUAAAGCUAAAUAUUGGCGAGAGACCGAUAGCGAACAAGUACAGUGAUGGAAAGAUGAAAAGAACUUUGAAAAGAGAGUGAAAAAGUACGUGAAAUUGUUGAAAGGGAAGGGCAUUUGAUCAGACAUGGUGUUUUUUGCAUGCACUCGCCUCUCGUGGGCUUGGGCCUCUCAAAAAUUUCACUGGGCCAACAUCAAUUCUGGCAGCAGGAUAAAUCAUUAAGAAUGUAGCUACUUCGGUAGUGUUAUAGCUUUUUGGAAUACUGUUAGCCGGGAUUGAGGACUGCGCUUCGGCAAGGAUGUUGCCAUA
rnacentral:rRNA from 1 species